rnacentral:tRNA from 1 species
GGAGAGGUGGCCGAGUAGGUCGAAGGCGGCCGCCUGCUAAGCGGUUACACGACUAAACAUCGUGUCGCGGGUUCGAAUCCCGCCCUCUCCGCCA